CUCCGCCAUCUGGUAACGCCUGAGAAGAAAACUACAGCUAGCCUUCAGAUGCAUGAUGCUCUGACUACCGGAAACAUCAGGACUACAGAUGGAUAGAAGAAGCUUUUAUCAAAGUCUUCCCUUUCUGACACUUGAGAGAAUUUCUCUGCAAUAUAAAUUUAAGUCUGUUCUUGAUCAUGCAUCUGUAUGUGGCUGCACUCAACUGAAUAUGGUUUGCUUGGUGUGAUCUUUCCUAGAACAAGAAGCUUCAUGAGCAAGUAGUAGAACUGGAGGGAACGGCUAGAGCAUUUCUUUUAUGUACUAUCAAGAUAUUAGUCCUUAAUACUCUGUCUUGCUGGCCAUGUACUAAAAAUGGUGCUACCAUGUCUCAUCAAGAUAUGUAUGCUUGUGAUA